rnacentral:rRNA from 1 species
UAGGGAAUUUUCGUCAAUGGGCGCAAGCCUGAACGAGCAAUGCCGCGUGAGUGAGGAAGGUCUUCGGAUCGUAAAGCUCUGUUGCGGGGGAAAAAGAGCAGAAAGGAAUGGUCUGCUUUUGAUGGUACCCGCAGAAGUCACGGCUAACUCGUGCCAGCAGCCGCG